CGAAGGGGGCUAGCGUUGUUCGGAUUUACUGGGCGUAAAGCGCACGUAGGCGGAUUGUUAAGUCAGGGGUGAAAUCCUGGAGCUCAACUCCAGAACUGCCUCUGAUACUGGCAAUCUCGAGUCCGGAAGAGGUGAGUGGAACUCCUAGUGUAGAGGUGGAAUUCGUAGAUAUUAGGAAGAACACCAGUGGCGAAGGCGGCUCACUGGUCCGGUACUGACGCUGAGGUGCGAAAGCGUGGGGAGCAAACAGG
rnacentral:rRNA from 1 species